UCCUGUAUCGAAAGGUGAUCAUGGUGCCCUGGUUGCCAGGUCAUUUAAAAAUUACAGGUAUAUGAAUAUGUGAGCCUUCCCUGUGUUUGCAGGACUGUCUGUGCCUGUCAGACCCUGGUGCUCUCAGACA
ensembl:snoRNA SNORA71 Small nucleolar RNA SNORA71